rnacentral:lncRNA from 1 species
UGAGGUCUAAAGUUCGAGGUUGUCUAAAAUUUGAGAUUAUUUUAUGGGCGCGCUCGGUUCGCGCUGUGAAAAAUUACUUGGAGUAAAAUGAUAUUCGAGAAUCUUAUUCCUAUUCAGCCUAUUACUAGGAAUAUAGUAUUUCGGUGUUUGGUUCGUACGAUCAUAUUAUUAUUUAAGAUUACAAAAAAUAUAUAAUUUAUUUAUUUAUUUUCUUAAUUAAUUUAAAAUAAUACUAUAAAAAUAUUUCAACAUCUUUUUAGAAAAGAGAGAGAGAGAAUAUAGAUUAGAAAGACAAAGCAUAAUUAAAAAAAAUAGGAAGAGAAAUAGAGUCGAGAUUAGAUAGAAUGAGAGAGUUGAGAUCUUAGAAAAAGAUGGGAGAAAUAGCUUAGUUUAGAGCGAGAAAAAGAGUUGAAGUUUAGAGAGAAAAAAAGAUAAGUUUACAGAGAGAUAUGAGGUUAGAGUGUAAAGAAAAAUAAUACCAACUAGUCGGCGGGUAAGAGAUCAGACAUUAUAAUUACCUGAAUCCAUUAAUAUAAGGAUAUCCACCCUUCCUCAAAUAAAUGAGAUUAGUACUUUGGGAUGCAUCUCAUUCCCAAGUAAAUUCAAUAUUACCAACUAGAUUACUUAGGCUUAGUUUGUAUUGAGGCCUAUCUAACGCUAUUAGAUAGAAUGGAGUUGAGGAAAAAGCAUAUAGGGAUAUACUUCUGUGUUCUCCUGUGGGACUGUAGAAAAUAUAUUGUAACCGACUCAUCGCGAUAUGCAGAAUGCAAUAUUAGGUACGGAAACAAACAGGGUAUUUUUCCAAGCUACUUUCUCACCGCACGGUCCGCACGUAACGAAAUCUCCCCGCAAUCCCAAACGAAGCCUUAGUGAGUUUAGCCAAACACUGUCAUAUUUUUUUAUUCCUAUUGGAUUACUAGAAAUCUUAUAAAGAUAGCGCGAAACAAACGCACCCUAUUUGUUAAAAAAAGAGAAUAAAUAGACUUGGUCUCGUUC